rnacentral:rRNA from 1 species
AAAUGUGAUCAUUACGCCGGUAGUGAGGAGCGGGCUGGAACCUCUCGGGGUUACAGCCUUGCUGAAUUAUUCACCCUUGUCUUUUGCGUACUUCUUGUUUCCUUGGUGGGUUCGCCCACCACUAGGACAAACAUAAACCUUUUGUAAUUGCAAUCAGCGUCAGUAACAAAUUAAUAAUUACAACUUUCAACAACGGAUCUCUUGGUUCUGGCAUCGAUGAAGAACGCAGCGAAAUGCGAUAAGUAGUGUGAAUUGCAGAAUUCAGUGAAUCAUCGAAUCUUUGAACGCACAUUGCGCCCUUUGGUAUUCCAAAGGGCAUGCCUGUUCGAGCGUCAUUUGUACCCUCAAGCUUUGCUUGGUGUUGGGCGUCUUGUCUCUAGCUUUGCUGGAGACUCGCCUUAAAGUAAUUGGCAGCCGGCCUACUGGUUUCGGAGCGCAGCACAAGUCGCACUCUCUAUCAGCAAAGGUCUAGCAUCCAUUAAGCCUUUUUUUCAACUUUUGACCUCGGAUCAGGUAGGGAUACCCGCUGAACUUAAGCAUAUCGAUUAAGCGGAGGA